rfam:Heligmosomoides polygyrus genome assembly, scaffold: HPBE_scaffold0000502
CUUCAUAGGGGGCGAGGGGGGUUCGAUUUCUGGUCGAUUUUUGGCAAAAAUCGACCAGAAAUCGAACCCCCACCGCCCCCUAUGAAA